AGAGUUUGAUCCUGGCUCAGAACGAACGCUGGUAGCGUGGAUUAGGCAUGCAAGUCGAACGGGAUCGUCCGGUUAGCAAUAAUUGGGCGUGAGAGUGGCGGAUUGGGGAGGAACACGUGAGCAACCUGCCCUUGAGUUGGGGAAAACCGUUGGAAACGACGGCUAAUACCCGAUGUGGCGCCCCGCGGCAUCGCGGGAGCGCUAAAGGGGGCCGCAAGGCUCCCGCUCGUGGAGGGGCUCGCGCAUCAUCAGCUUGUUGGCGGGGUAACGGCCCACCAAGGCCUACGGUUAGCUGGUCUGAGAGGAUGACCAGCCCCACUGGGACUGAGAUACUGCCCAGACUCCUACGGGAGGCUGCAGUCGAGGAUCAUUUGCAAUGGGCGAAAGCCUGACAAUGCGACGCUGCGUGGAGGAUGAAGGCCUUCGGGUUGUAAACUCCUGUCAUAGGGGAACAGGCGAGCGGACCUAAUACGUCCGUGAGUUGAGUGUACCCUAAGAGGAAUUGGCGGCUAACUCUGUGCCAGCAGCCGCGGUAAUACAGAGGCCAAGAGCGUUGUUCGGAUUUACUGGGCGUAAAGGGCGCGUAGGCGGUGAGGCGUGUCAAGUGUGAAAGCUCCGGGCUCAACCCGGAAAGUGCGCUUGAAACUACCUCGCUCGAGUGCGGAAGAGGGAAUCGGAAUAUAGGGUGUAGCGGUGAAAUGCGUUGAUAUCCUAUAGAACACCGGAGGCGAAGGCGGAUUCCUUGUACGCAACUGACGCUGAGGCGCGAAAGUCGGGGGAGCAAACAGGAUUAGAUACCCUGGUAGUCCACGCCGUAAACGAUG
rnacentral:rRNA from 1 species